UCACUCAGAAUACUCCCAUUA
ensembl:piRNA 21ur-4039 ncRNA